AUCCCCUAAAAGUGUUGAAAUGACCAAAUUAGUAGUAUUACGGUUAGAAUUGGAAUACAUACAAACACAAUAGAGUUGUAACUAGAAAGAUAUGCAUCAAGGCUACAAAGCUAUUUGGACAAAUUAGGUAUUGUCACCAUGAAUAUUAAACAAAGUGGCGGUAAAGUGGUGUUAGAAAAGGAUCAAUGUUAUCCAAUAACUAUGUGUUUGGCUCAGAGCCUCGUAAUUUUGUAAAUCCUCUACUUCAGCAGGAUGGUUGUAAUCCUUGGACCCAUAUUAGGGGAGUGCAAUUUUAUUUGCCCAAAAAAGGAUAUGCAACAUGAUAAGUGUAAUAUCUGAGCCCGAAAAUCGGCCUAGGAUAAU
rnacentral:lncRNA from 1 species